ACUCCUACGGGAGGCAGCAGUGGGGAAUUUUGGACAAUGGGCGAAAGCCUGAUCCAGCAAUGCCGCGUGAGUGAAGAAGGCCUUCGGGUUGUAAAGCUCUUUUGUCAGGGAAGAAACGGUGAAAGCUAAUAUCUUUUGCUAAUGACGGUACCUGAAGAAUAAGCACCGGCUAACUACGUGCCAGCAGCCGCGGUAAUACGUAGGGUGCAAGCGUUAAUCGGAAUUACUGGGCGUAAAGCGUGCGCAGGCGGUUUUGUAAGUCUGAUGUGAAAUCCCCGGGCUCAACCUGGGAAUUGCAUUGGAGACUGCAAGGCUAGAAUCUGGCAGAGGGGGGUAGAAUUCCACGUGUAGCAGUGAAAUGCGUAGAUAUGUGGAGGAACACCGAUGGCGAAGGCAGCCCCCUGGGUCAAGAUUGACGCUCAUGCACGAAAGCGUGGGGAGCAAACAGGAUUAGAUACCCUGGUAGUCC
rnacentral:rRNA from 1 species